rnacentral:rRNA from 1 species
AACGAACGCUGGUGGCAGGCUUAACACAUGCAAGUCGAACGCCCCGCAAGGGGAGUGGCAGACGGGUGAGUAACGCGUGGGAACAUACCCUUUCCUGCGGAAUAGCUCUGGGAAACUGGAAUUAAUACCGCAUACGCCCUACGGGGGAAAGAUUUAUCGGGGAAGGAUUGGCCCGCGUUGGAUUAGCUAGUUGGUGGGGUAAAGGCCUAACAAGGCGACGAUCCAUAGCUGGUCUGAGAGGAUGAUCAGCCACAUUGGGACUGAGACACGGCCCAAACUCCUACGGGAGGCAGCAGUGGGGAAUAUUGGACAAUGGGCGCAAGCCUGAUCCAGCCAUGCCGCGUGAGUGAUGAAGGCCUUAGGGUUGUAAAGCUCUUUCACCGAUGAAGAUAAUGACGGUAGUCGGAGAAGAAGCCCCGGCUAACUUCGUGCCAGCCGCCGCAGUAAGAC